rnacentral:rRNA from 1 species
UCCUACGGGAGGCAGCAGUGGGGAAUUUUGGACAAUGGGGGCAACCCUGAUCCAGCCAUCCCGCGUGUACGAUGAAGGCCUUCGGGUUGUAAAGCACUUUUGGCAGGGAAGAAACAGCCUGGGCGAAUACCGUGGGAGACUGACGGUACCUGCAGAAUAAGCACCGGCUAACUACGUGCCAGCAGCCGCGGUAAUACGUAGGGUGCAAGCGUUAAUCGGAAUUACUGGGCGUAAAGCGUGCGCAGGCGGUUCGGAAAGAAAGGUGUGAAAUCCCAGGGCUUAACCUUGGAACUGCACUUUUAACUGCCGGUCUAGAGUACGUCAGAGGCGGGUAGAAUUCCACGUGUAGCGGUGAAAUGCGUAGCGAUGUGAAGGAAUACCGAUGGCGAAGGCAGCCCCCUGGGAUGAUACUGACGCUCAUGCUGAAAGCUUGGGGAGCAAACAGGAUUAGAUACCCUGGUAGA